CAUCAGUUCCAAGCAUGGAUACCGCGAGACACGCACAGAAAAUGUGUUGCCAUCACCUCCGUCUCUCUGCUCGAGCACACGAGACUGGAGUCGAAUAACAGCACAACAUGU
rfam:Oryza brachyantha chromosome 4, whole genome shotgun sequence.